AAUAUGGCGGCGCCCAGUGGCGGUGUGAACUGUGAGGAGUUCGCCGAGUUCCAGGAAUUACUCAAGGUGAUGAGGACAAUUGAUGACAGAAUAGUACAUGAAUUAAACACUAUAGUUCCAACAGCUUCCUUUGUAGGGAAAAUUGAUGCCAGCCAAACCUGUAAACAGCUUUAUGAGUCAUUGAUGGCAGCUCAUGCCAGUAGAGACAAAGUCAUAAAAAAUUGUAUAGCCCAGACGUCAGAAGUAGUAAAAAAUCUCCGAGAAGAGAGAGAAAAGAAUUUAGACGAUUUAACGUUAUUAAAGCAACUUAGAAAAGAGCAGACAAAGUUGAAAUGGAUGCAGUCAGAACUGAAUGUUGAAGAAGUGGUAAAUGACAGGAGCUGGAAGGUGUUUAAUGAACGCUGCCGAAUUCACUUCAAGCCUCCAAAGAAUGAAUAAAGAGAGAUACUUUUUUUUUUUUUAAAGGACUGGGUCAUCUCAUAAGAGCUAAGCAUGACAGGUAUCAACAGGGCGGGCUUCCUAGGAUGAUUUCUGAGCCAACAGUCCAAGACCUUUUGUUGAUUUCAGCCCCACUUAGCCAAGACCUCAAAUAUAAAUAAUUCUGAUAAUUAUGGAGAAAUCAACUGCUAUUUUAUACUGAUUCUGUAAAAAAAAAAAAAGUUUUGUAACUAUUAAAAUAAUUUUCUGA